rnacentral:rRNA from 1 species
GACGAACCGUGCGAACGUUGUUCGGAAUCACUGGGCUUAAAGGGCGCGUAGGCGGGUUCGCAAGUCUGUGGUGAAAGCCUCCAGCUUAACUGGAGAAGUGCCGUGGAUACUGCGAAUCUUGAGGAGGGUAGGGGCGUCUGGAACGGUCGGUGGAGCGGUGAAAUGCGUUGAUAUCGACCGGAACUCCGGUGGCGAAGGCGAGGCGCUGGACCCUUUCUGACGCUGAGGCGCGAAAGCCAGGGGAGCAAAGCGGG